GAUCAAGAAGAAGUCACUUCUCCACCAAUGGAGGGGUUCACACCUGUUUUUUCAAAGUCUGCAAAGAGAAAAAUGAGGGCUGCUAGAAAGAGGGUUGCUCAGAGUUCUGCAGGAAGGGUUACUCAUGCUCCAGUGUCAGUAAUGAAAGGAAAGAUAGUUGAAGCAGAACCAUCCGACCGCCAUCAAUCCAAGGACAAGGGAAAGAAAGUGGUGUUUGAGAAAUCCGAGUUUCCGCCACUUGUUUACAAGGGAAAAGAGAAGAUGGUAGAGACACUCAACUCCAAGCUACCUGAGAAAAUAGGCGGCGUUGCGGUCAUAUUGCCGUCAGCGUCAUCUUCAACAGGAAGGCCCACCAACGCUCGGAAUAUACUUCGAGCCGAUGCUCCUGAGUUUGUCCCCUCACUGGCCCAUAAACCUACACCAUCAGUUCCUCUGUUUGAAGAAGAACCCAUCUUACGAGAGUCCUUUGAAGGUUCGUUUGAUCCAGUGCGACAUGAACGACGACAGAGAAUUAUCCGUCGAUCUUGGAUUGAUCUUCCAGCUGCCGUAGAUCAAGAGGCGGCGAGCCGACACCGUUCUCAUGUGAGCAAGUCCGUCAAGGGAAGAUUUAAAAACACUCGUCCCAAGAUCCAAUUUCAGAAUCCAAAUGACUCGUCACAGCUUCCCGGCGCAUCCACAUCACAAAAUGAUGAGGGUGGUGCCAUCAUGCGACUAGCGGAGGCCCUGGCCCAAUGGCCUGAGUACCAAGAAUUCAUUCAGCAACAUCCUGAACAUCAAGAAAGGGCGGCGUACAAAGAAAGAGAAAGGGCGGUAAGGGCAAGGUCGGGGUCAAGCAGAGUCCAAGGGGCAGAACAUGCUCCAUCAGAUGAGGACAGUCAGGCUAAAGUGAACAAGUGGCUAUCAAAUCCAUCAAAUGAGGUGGCCACGAGCUUAUCUCCAUGGCCCUCUCAUAAGCAAACCAAGAAUAAAUCAUUCAAGGUGUUCCAAGCAAUGCCAGUUGGUGUCAGGGCGGCGUCAGACAAGACCAGCGAAACAUCCUCCACAUCAACACAUUUCAAGAGGAAGAAGGCACGCAAAACUGUCAUAGAAGGUCCUCGUCGUAGUACACGGAGCCAAAAGGGUUUAGAUUAUGAAGAACUUGGAUCCAGCUGUGGUGGGUCUUAUAAUCCCCUAUCGGACAGUACCCCAUGUCCUUCUGCAAAUGAGAUAGAACUCCACCAUGGUGCAGAGCAUACAGACCAAGUGCUAGCCGCGAAUGAAACUCAUUCGGUUGAGGAUCAAUUAGCCAACCUUACGGCAGCGCUUCAGCAAAAGGAAGACGAGCUAGCAGCCCUUCGAAUUCAGAUGAGCAAUAACCAGAACAAAGGAAAUGAAGGGGAUGGUGGCGCGAGUGCUAACAGCCAACAUGGAGGAGCGGGGCUCAACCUUGAGGCGAUCCAAAGAAUGAUCGCUUAG
rnacentral:rRNA from 1 species